AGCUCCAAUAGCGUAUAUUAAAGUUGUUGCGGUUAAAAGCUCGUAGUUGGAUUUCUGUUAGGGGUAGCAGGUCCGCAUUAUGUGCGUGUAUCUGGUGGCCUUGGCAUCUUUUCAGGGAUCGUAUCUGCGAUUCAGUUCGUGGUGCGGAACUUGAAACUUUUACUUUGAGGAAAUUAGAGUGUUCACGGCAGGCAAACGCCUUGAAUAUAUUAGCAUGGAAUAAUAAUAUAGGAUCUUGGGUCUAUUUUGUUGGUUUCUAGAGCUAAGAUAAUGAUUAAUAGGGACAAUUGGGGGCAUUCGUAUUAACACGUCAGAGGUGGAAUUCUUGGAUUGUGUUACGACGAACUACUGCGAAAGCAUUUGCCAAGGAUGUUUUCA
rnacentral:rRNA from 1 species